UCCUCAGUGUACUCCAUAUCUCCGGUUGGCUUCACAAUUACUCAGUAUUACUAAACCCUGGUGCAAGGCACAAUGCUGGGCCCUGGAGAGGGCCUGAAGGAGCAUAAGAUAACAAACAUUCCUGCCCUCAAGGUGCUUACUAACGGAGCCCUUCAGAUACUGUAGAUAUGUACUAGAGAACUCUACCUUGAGAAUUUAUAAUAAGUGCUAAAUAAGAUAUACAGUGAGUUUCUAUGGGAGUUUACAAUGAGAAAGAACAGCAGUGUGGAGAAGAGUGAUCAGGGAAACUUCAUUCUGUGAAAAACAAAAAGUUUCAGUCCUUUGUUUAAAAUUUGCUUUUCUUUCAUGUUUCUCAUCCAUUUUCUUUUGCCUUUUUCAUUAAAUUGCUACUUUCGCUAAGCAAUAUUGAGUAUUCUAGGCACUUAGUAAACGGGAUCAUUAAACCUCUUUUAGAAUUUAGCUGAGGAGCUAGAAUUUGAGUAUGCUGGUAUCAAAGGAUGGUGCAGGAAAACCAAGUACAACUGAUUGUAAGCAUCUUAAUUUCAGAAGACCCUUUUCUGAUUACUAUUUCUAAAGAUGUUCAUAUAGUUUUAAGGCUACUGUUACUGAAACAGUGUAGAUUAGGCCACAGGUUUUAAGUAGCAGGUGAAAUAAAAUCCUACACUCACUGGUAUUCAAGGUGAGCAUCGAAGUUGCAGGUUUUACUCUUUACACCAGAAUCCCAAGUGUAAAGCAGCUAGACUCUUUUGCUCUAGAAAACAAUAUCUUAACAUUUGCCUCACUUUCUUCAACUAAAGAAAAAUGAUAGGGCCACGUGACAUUCUUCUAGAAAAUUUUUUUUAAAAAAAGGAUCUACCUUAUAUAACUUGACUGGGGCCCUUAUAACUUAUUAGUUAGAAAGCUCUGAUCUCAUGCCUUCUGUUUUCUUUGUUUUGUAUUCCAUUUUGCUCAGCUUUCGGGGCACCAUUUCAUUCCCUUUACAUAUUCUGGAUUUGGGGUUUGUCUCGUUCCCACCUUCCACAUUUUCUUUGCUGAUUCUGAAUGUAGCUUUGGAGGAGCAUGGAUAAAAUAAAAGAGUGCAGAGCUUGAGGAUGAGGACAUGCUGCCCUGCACCCCGUCAUGUGCUCUGCUUCUGAUUUACCAACUGCAGAGAUAAGCAGUGUAUCCUUUCUUUCAUCUAAGACGAGUAAUACUUUCUUCCAUGGAAAAAGCAGUAGUUCAAUCUUAAAAAGAAAUUAGGUCCUUUAGAAGAAUUGAAGCACUAAAGCAAACUAAAUCAAGUUUUGUUACCAUUUUGUCCAGCAUUGUUGUUUGUUCAAUGGUACACAGGACAGUAGUUAUUUGAAAGCAUGUGUUAGAUCAUAUUUAUGUAGUAGAAUUGUAGAAAUACAGAAUUUAUAAGAUACAAGAAAGCUUUGAAGCUUCUGCAGAUGUUUCAGAUCCACUCAAUUCAAUGCCCUGGUUAAUACUGAAGUGAUAUGUAAAUUUAAUAUUAUGGGGAAAUAAUGGAAGAAGCCCCUGUUCUUCUACCUGAACAUGGAGUCUAUCUUUUGGGAAAUGACCAGUUUUGCAUAUUGGCCUCCCACUCUGGUGGUUUUCAUUCUACAUGUAGUAAGGAAACUGCCUAGAAUUGUUUUGGUCCCUGUUGAUCAACGGUUAGCAAAUUUUAGCAUAUAUCAGAAUCAGUUUCAGAAGGCUUGUCACUCAAACUCCAAUUCCUAUUUCAAACUACCUUUAAGAUUUAAAUGUUCAUCUCUCAUUUAGUAUAUCAAGACUGACUUAAAUUUUCCCUACUCUAGCUUUUUUCUAAUUUCCCCAUUUUGUUAAUGCAACAUCUUUUUUCCAAUUCUCCAAGUUUAGAACUU
rnacentral:lncRNA from 1 species